AUCCAUGGGCCAAGGCCAGGGGUGUGAGGUUCAACAAGGCCAGUGCUGGCUCCUGCCCUGGGGUCACAGCAACCCCAGGCAGUGGCACAGGCUGGGGCAGAGUGGCUGCAAAGCUGCCACAGGAAAAGGAGCUGGGGGUGCUGCUGACAGCAGCUGAACAUGAGCCAGCAGGGCCCAGGUGGCCAAGAAGGCCAAUGGCAUCCUGGCCUGGACCAGCAAUGGUGUGGCCAGCAGGAGCAGGGCAGGGAUUGUCCCCUGUACUCAGCACUGAUGAAUGUGAAAGCACAUAGGUUCUCCAGUCAGUGAAAAAAACUGCUUAGACAUGUUCCUUUUCUUAAUAUAUAUUCGCAUUGCAACUAAGCCAGGAAAGGACUACAAAACCACCAUAAACUGCCACAGUCCUUACUGAUGCUGAUUUGAAGUAGAUCGGAGAGCACUUACCUCAAUUCAUCUAUCACAAGAUGAGUAUAAGAAAGGCAAGAGGACAUUAUUUACUACGUGAUUGAUGAACUUACCAGACUUCCUGCAAAAAAGUAAUUUUACUAGUCACCUGUGUCUACCACACCUAUUUUUGCUCGUUGUAGAAGAUUGAGAAAA